UACGAAGGGAGCUAGCGUUGUUCGGAAUCACUGGGCGUAAAGCGCACGUAGGCGGAUUUGUAAAGUCAGGGGUGAAAUCCCGGGGGCUCAACCUCGGAACUGCCUUUGAUACUGCAAAUCUCGAGUCCGAUAGAGGUGGGUGGAAUUCCUAAGUGUAGAGGUGAAAUUCGUAGAUAUUAGGAAGAACACCGGUGGCGAAGGCGGCC
rnacentral:rRNA from 1 species